rnacentral:rRNA from 1 species
AUUGAACGCUGGCGGCAUGCCUUACACAUGCAAGUCGAACGGCAGCACGGGAGCAAUCCUGGUGGCGAGUGGCGAACGGGUGAGUAAUAUAUCGGAACGUGCCCGGUAGUGGGGGAUAACCCGGCGAAAGUCGGACUAAUACCGCAUACGACCUAUGGGUGAAAGCGGGGGAUCGCAAGACCUCGCGCUAUUGGAGCGGCCGAUAUCAGAUUAGCUAGUUGGUGGGGUAAAGGCCUACCAAGGCGACGAUCUGUAGCUGGUCUGAGAGGACGACCAGCCACACUGGGACUGAGACACGGCCCAGACUCCUACGGGAGGCAGCAGUGGGGAAUUUUGGACAAUGGGCGCAAGCCUGAUCCAGCCAUGCCGCGUGCGGGAAGAAGGCCUUCGGGAUGUAAACUUCUGAACUAGCCGAAUAAAAGGCCUGUGGACACACAGGAGAAGAAAGUAGGCUAGGAAAGUCCCGGCUAACUACGUGCCAGCAGCCGCGGUAAUGCUACGG